rnacentral:rRNA from 1 species
UACGGGGGGGGCAAGCGUUGUUCGGAAUUACUGGGCGUAAAGGGCUCGUAGGUGGCCAACUAAGUCAGACGUGAAAUCCCUCAGCUUAACUGGGGAACUGCGUCUGAUACUGGAUGGCUUGAGUUUGGGAGAGGGAUGCGGAAUUCCAGGUGUAGCGGUGAAAUGCGUAGAUAUCUGGAGGAACACCAAUUGCGAAGGCAGCUCGCUGGGACGUAACUGACGCUGAGACGCGAAAGCGUGGGGAGCAAACAGG